UUAUGAUCAUAUGAUUUUUCUUUAUUCGUUACUCUAGGUUUAGCUAAUUUCGUCGAUGAUUGAUUCUCUCUAUUAUCUGCUACUUUAUCGCUGUGAAAUCCGAUUGCUGUCCCGAAAAUUGUGUGGCUGUGUUUGAUGUUCCGUUUUUGUGUUUUGAUUUCUGAUCGCGUUUUUCUUCGUCCUUCAUCUGAAAAAGGACGGUACUUGUUUCUAAGAAGGGAUUGCGUAUGAUAAUUUCCUGCCACUCUUCGUCUCCCUGCGUUUUCUUAUGUGCGGAUGCUACUUUUUUUUUUGAACGGUUGGAUUAUCUUUGAUGCGGAGGUUUUGGUUUGACCACGUUAUUUCAUUCCGAACGAAAUUGGCCUUUGUUAUGAGAAGUUUCAACCGCAAUUUACUAUCGUCUGCAGUUUAUAGCCUAGUUUUGCGAGUUUCAACCUAUCUGCUUUUUGCGUGCGAUAUUCACUAGGAUUUAACAGUUUGAUUAUGGAGGUGAUUGCUAUGGGAAGUUUCAAGCGCAAUUUACUAUCCUUCAGGCAAUCAGGCUGCAGAUGUUAGACUCGGCUGCCAAUAUAUAUGGAUUCAUCAUUCAUCAUUCAUAGUUUUUUCACUCUUUAUCCUGUCAUCAUGUUCAUCUCUCUGAGGCACCUAUCCAACAAUUAUGCCUUCCCUAUUUGCAGAAGCUGCUCAACAAUUACUCAUUCAGAUUUACCAACUGCCGUCUUCUUUUCAAGUCAACUGCUGUUUGGUUUUUCUGAUUGAACGUCUUUAUGUCUUAUUUUGCGUUUAAAGGUUCUUUUACCAGAUUUUGUUUGAUCUUCUAUUUGAUCUGUCAUCCGUUUUAUGUCUUCUCGCAGAUUGGUCAUACAUAUCCACUUGAGGUGUUGUCUCCGUGCAGUAUAUUCCUAUAUUUUUUUCUUUUUAUGUGUUCUUAUUAUGUAGCCUGUAGUUUCAGGGGAUUUAAACAUGAACUAGCUGAUUUUAAGGUAUGAUCUUAUGUUACAAUCAAUAUAUCUUAUUUAUCUAUUUAAAGUUUUAAGCUUUUAGUGAUUUUCAUUUCACUUUUAGAGGUCGUUUAUAGGAAUUCUUUUUAACUAGAUAUAAUCAUCUUUAACUGUCUACCAUGAUCUUAUUGCUCCUUGGAAUAUAUACAUAUAUGUAUCAAAUCUUUUGAAAGGAGUGAAUCUUGAUUUAUAUUAUCUAUUUUUGUCACCGUCGCUAACAGUGUUUUGUCUCUUUUUCAAUUUAUAAUCUUGUUUUGAGAAAAUCUGUGAGUCUUCUUCUAUUAUUCCCUUUAAUUUCAGCAUUGAAUUCAUAUAGGACCACGGUGUACUAUUGUUCCUCUAGUACUGAGUGAUUACUGUAAGGAUAGAUGAAGGCUGGGUACCUUGGGGGUGUGAUCUGACUAAUUUUUUAUCUCUUUACAACUAUCUGACUAUUUUUUUUAUCUCCACCGAAAUAUCUGCAUAUUGGUUUCGUUGACUCGGUCUUUUCUUGCCAAACUUCCUUUUGGAGGCUUUCUUGGUUUCCUCCUAACUUCCUUUGCUGAUCCUGGUUCAUCUCCUGGGAUUUCUUGGUUCAUCUCUUUGGAGUUUGCAUAUGCAUUAAGUUUAUUUGGGGGUCUUAAUCUUAGUUGUUUAAAAUCCCGUGUUUCAUCGUAGCUCUUCUGCCAGCAUGUUGUUGGUAGUCUGUGACGGUCCAAUUACGUCAAGUCUACGUAUUAUGCUCUGCUUCAGGAUAAAAAGUUAUUGGUGUUGCUCAUUGGGAUAUUAGGAUCAUCUCAAGUUCACGGAAAGGAUUAUUACUCUCACAGUUGCUAUUUAUAUUUGGAUUAAUUGCUAUUUCAUCUAUAGAUUGCCAGAUGCAGUCAAAAGUUUGGUGAUAUAAGAGCUAGUUGAUCAGCAGAAUACUUGUUGGUAGUCUUGUCACUGUAGAUUAAUGACACUGAAUCUUGUGGAUGCUGGUCUUUUGAUUCUCUUCUUGCUCACGCAUGGAUGUUUUGGAUGUUGAAAACUACCUGGAAGAUCGAAUAAAACAAAAAUCUUAGGGAAUUCCUUCAAGACUUAUUAUAUUUCUCCUCAAGUAUCACUUAUUUAUUUAUGAAGAGGACUGAGGAUAGUACCCCAAAGUAUUUGAUGCUGUUGUCCUAAAUAUCUGAUCCAACCUGUCCUAGUUUUUUUUUUUUUUUUUUGGCAUUUCUGGUGGGGGCCCACUCAUUCAAUAAGAACUGUUAGUUCGAGUAGGUCUUUGGAACAUUUUUGUUUAUCAGGUUUAUAUUUCUACCUAACAAAAGUAACUUCACAACCUUUGUUACAGUGUGGUCCUGUUAUUACUUCUUGGAUUUAAUUUAAUCAAUGUCACAGAUGUUACUGACUGAAGGAAAUCAAUACUCAAUAGGUGAAACAUAGAUGGGCAGGGGAAACCCCACAGUGUUAAUACUUGUUCUGGUGUUAUCUCCUUCCUGCCAGCUUUUGAUUAUUUUCAAGGUUAAUGAUAUGUCUUUUAGCCUUCUUUUCUGUUACUUAUCUUUAUAUUAUAUUUUUUCUUUGCUAAUUUAGUUUGAUUUAUUGUCAAAGAAACAUGUCAUACGUGUUAAUUUGUGCUGAUUUUAAAUGAAGCUAUGUAUUUUUUUAAGCUGUCUUGUUUUUAGUUGAUUUUAAUUUUAAUGUGGUGGACUGGACUAUGGCUCCUUCUUGCACGGGUAGAAAUAAAGAUUUCCUCAAGGUUUGGGGCAUUGUCUUCUCAUUCCACAUACUGCUACCUGCUCUUCCUUGUGAACUUUUCUGUGGUUCUUCCUUUGGCUGAUGAUCCUAAAAAAAUUGAUCACUCUUCAUCUUUGGCCAUCUGAAUCAUUUUGGUUUAUCAUCGCUUUGUUCUCAACAUGGUGUUAUACUCAGAGAAGUCUUAUUUAUUAGCUCUUAAUUCUUGAUAGGACCAAUUGGGCUUCUUGGUGAUAUAUUUUGUUUAGGAUCAUAUAAAGAGCAUGUAAUGUAUCAUUUGUACUGAUGAUGUUGGUCUCUGGUUACAUGCCUUUUGAACUACAGGGUGCUAAUUUGGUUAAAACAUUAUCAUAAGGGAUUCAACUGUUUGGAAUAUGAAGUGUUUUCAGUGUGUCUUCAUGGUUAGAUUGAAUGUAGUGCCAUCCUGGUCUUUUUGCAUAGGACAGAAGCUGCUACUAGAGUACUAAGUUUGGUCAAAGACAUUUCUUUUCUGGGUUUAUAGCAUUCUCAAGAUUUUUUCAGCUAAGUUGUUCUUUGUCAGAUCUUAUUUGGGAGGCAGUGGAUUUGUUACUGUUGAUUAUCUCUCUGGUGUUUCUGGUCAUCUAACCUUCUCAGAUUACAUUGGUUCAAUAUCUUUAUUUGUUCUCACUUGAGACGUUCUGGUUUUGCAAGCUGAAAUUUUUUGCUGGAAGUUAUUAUUUCGACCGGUCGAGGACAUCACACAGUUGGUAUUUUUGUGCGGUUUUAUCCUUUCCUCUCAGCUUUUGAUUUGCAGUCCGAUCCAAGCUAUAAGUUCUUAUGCUGUCUUCACCUCCAAUGCCUUUUGAAUUUGGAACUACUGCUGCUUAUGAAAUGAGUAUAUGUGUGUUGAGAGGCCGGAUGCAAGGCCAUUUUGUGGAGUAAAUAGUUUUGAUUUGCAGUUCUUCUAUUCCAGUUAUUUUUGCUGUAGUAGUUUAAAGAGUGAUCCUUGCUUGUUGGAAUACGGAAUUCUCAUUUUGCAUUAGCUGACUGUAUAAGAAAAGGAGGCGCACCAGAGAACCUAGGGUAUUAUGGAAGACUGCUCUUUUCCAACUUUAUUGUGUUCUAAUCUUCUUGAAAAUGAUCUCAAUUCCUACUUCCUUAGUUCCUUAAGUAUCAUGUGGCAUAUGACUAACAUCUUUUGCAUUACUUUUUUAUAAAUGAUUCGUGUAUGUCACUUAUGGAAUUCUUAUUUUGAAUUGGCAAACCAUAGUAUAAGGAAAUGAUUAUGUUGCAUCUGAGAACUUAGGUUAUCAUAGGGAAGCCUGAUUUUGUAUUUUGCUGACCAUAUAAGGAUGAGGUUUUACAUGGGAACUCUAGUGGACUCUUCUUGCUUGUAUGAACUUGUCUUGAUCUGGAUUUCCUUUGCUCUAGCAAAGAAGUUCACUGGGUUAUGUGUCUGCGUGUGUCUAUUCACCUUUUGUCUUUUCUUGUAAAAUGUAAGUAGAAAGACAGACAUAUAAAUCCUAGUAAUGAGGAUUCUCUAAAAUUGUGGAGCAUGCUGUUGCAGGUACUUGUGAACAUUAGUUUACCUUACCUAAAUGAAGAAUCAUCUCAUGCUUGAAAUCAUCCUUGAUAAGGUCGAGUUUGCUAAUUUGAUCUACUUAUGUCGAGUGCUCGGGAUAUGACGCAUAUUGAUUAGUUGAGAUCACAGUUCAUCUGGCUGGAUAGUUGACAUUUACUAUUAGAGAGGCUAUCUUCUGAAAUCCUGAUCUAGAGAUGAACGUUUCCCCUUGGUAGCAGGUGUGGUUUCUUGAUUUUUCGCUAUCAUUGCUUCACAUUAGUAGGGUGUGUCGAUUGAUCCUACUUCGUGGUAUUUUUUUUAUUUUCCUUAUUUGGUUUACUUGCAUAGGUAAGUAACUUGUGUAACUUCGCCUGUGGUGCAUUAGUUGCCCACAGCCGGUCCCAAGCCCGGGUAAAAGGAGGAGGGACAAGUUCUUAGGUUUGGGUCAAUCAAUGCUUCGUCGGGUUGAGGUAGUGUGUAUAAUGAUAUUAUUAUCUGAUGUAUAAUUUGAUGUAGUUGAGUAGUGAGGUUUAUCUAUCUGUUAUCAUCGGGAGCUCAGUGAUCGUCCUAGCAUAAAUUAACACCCAAUUUAUCAACCUGGCCUUUGAUUUCUAUUGCCAUAAAAUUGAGAGUAAUGGCUGUUUCACUUUCAUUUGAUAAAAGAGGGAAGACUACUGAGAUCAUAUAGAAGAAGUGAAACGGAGGGGAAGAGCUUUGAGUAUUGUCUUUUGGUUCUAACCAUCUUUAGGGAUUGAUUUCCCGAUUUCCCCUUUUUAGUUGUCCCGUUUAAGUAAUUUAUUUAUAUUUUAAAUUAUAAAUAUAAUAUCUAAUCUCUCUUA